GGUGCUGUAGCUCAUUGGUAGAGCACCUGCUUCGUAUGUGUGAGGCACAGGAUUUGAUCCUCAGCACCA
rnacentral:tRNA from 1 species